AUUGAACGCUGGCGGCAGGCCUAACACAUGCAAGUCGAACGGUAACAGGAAACAGCUUGCUGUUUCGCUGACGAGUGGCGGACGGGUGAGUAAUGUCUGGGAAACUGCCUGAUGGAGGGGGAUAACUACUGGAAACGGUAGCUAAUACCGCAUAACGUCGCAAGACCAAAGAGGGGGACCUUCGGGCCUCUUGCCAUCGGAUGUGCCCAGAUGGGAUUAGCUAGUAGGUUGGGUAACGGCUCACCUAGGCGACGAUCCCUAGCUGGUCUGAGAGGAUGACCAGCCACACUGGAACUGAGACACGGUCCAGACUCCUACGGGAGGCAGCAGUGGGGAAUAUUGCACAAUGGGCGCAAGCCUGAUGCAGCCAUGCCGCGUGUAUGAAGAAGGCCUUCGGGUUGUAAAGUACUUUCAGCGGGGAUGAAGGGAGUAAAGUUAAUACCUUUGCUCAUUGACGUUACCCGCAGAAGAAGCACCGGCUAACUCCGUG
rnacentral:rRNA from 1 species